UACGAAGGGGGCUAGCGUUGUUCGGAAUCACUGGGCGUAAAGCGUACGUAGGCGGACCAUUAAGUCGGGGGUGAAAUCCCAGGGCUCAACCCUGGAACUGCCUUCGAUACUGGUGGUCUGGAGUCCGGGAGAGGUGAGUGGAACUCCUAGUGUAGAGGUGAAAUUCGUAGAUAUUAGGAAGAACACCAGUGGCGAAGGCGGCUCACUGGCCCGGUACUGACGCUGAGGUACGAAAGCGUGGGGAGCAAACAGG
rnacentral:rRNA from 1 species